AUGAAGAGAUUUUUGGUUGAUAGAGAAAAUAUUGAGAAUGUGAAUAUUGUACAACCGGAAGCUGAAUUAGAACCACCGAUUAAUAAUGUGGUUAAUGAGUUUAAUCCAAAUGAGAUUGUACGUGAUCCAGUUCAUAGCAACCCGAGAGGGUCGAACAAUUUGGUUUUGAAGUCUUCACUAAAAGUGGAUAUAGAGAUUGGAAGCAUGCAUCUCAAGGCUUGA